AGAGGUAAGUCGUAACAUGGUAAGCAUACCGGAAGGUGUGCUUGGAACAAAGUAUAGUUUAUAUAAAACCCCUUGCUUACACCAAGAAGUCACCUGUGCAACCCUGGUUACUUUGAGC
rnacentral:tRNA from 1 species